rnacentral:rRNA from 1 species
AACGAACGCUGGCGGCAGGCCUAACACAUGCAAGUCGAACGAAGUCUUCGGACUUAGUGGCGCACGGGUGAGUAACACGCGGGAAUAUACCUUACGCUGGGGGAUAACAUCGGGAAACUGAUGCUAAUACCGCAUACGCCCUUCGGGGGAAAGAUUUAUCGGCGAAAGAUUAGCCCGCGUCCGAUUAGCUAGUUGGUGAGGUAAUGGCACACCAAGGCUCCGAUCGGUAGCUGGUCUGAGAGGAUGACCAGCCACACUGGGACUGAGACACGGCCCAGACUCCUACGGGAGGCAGCAGUGGGGAAUAUUGGACAAUGGGCGCAAGCCUGAUCCAGCCAUGCCGCGUGAGUGAUGAAGGCCUUAGGGUUGUAAAGCUCUUUCACCCACGACGAUGAUGACGGUAGUGGGAGAAGAAGCCCCGGCUAACUUCGUG